AGGGUCAUAGCUCAGUUGUAGAAUGCAUGUUUAGCAUGCAUAAGGUCCUGGGUUCAAUACCUAGUACCUCUA
rnacentral:tRNA from 1 species